CAGCCGCCACGGGAAUACAGAGGGUGCGAGCGUUAAUCGGAUUUACUGGGCGUAAAGCGUGCGUAGGCGGCUUCUUAAGUCGGAUGUGAAAUCCCUGAGCUUAACUUAGGAAUUGCAUUCGAUACUGGGAAGCUAGAGUAUGGGAGAGGAUGGUAGAAUUCCAGGUGUAGCGGUGAAAUGCGUAGAGAUCUGGAGGAAUACCGAUGGCGAAGGCAGCCAUCUGGCCUAAUACUGACGCUGAGGUACGAAAGCAUGGGGAGCAAACAGGAUUAGAGACCCGCGUAGUCCCUGUCUCUUAUAC
rnacentral:rRNA from 1 species